CUUUAUCGGAGAGUUUGAUCCUGGCUCAGGACGAACGCUGGCGGCGUGCCUAAUACAUGCAAGUCGAGCGGACAGAUGGGAGCUUGCUCCCUGAUGUUAGCGGCGGACGGG
rnacentral:rRNA from 1 species